rnacentral:misc_RNA from 1 species
GGAGGUAAAAGUCGUAACAAGGUUUCCGUAGGUGAACCUGCGGAAGGAUCAUUACUGAGUGAGGGCCCCUCGGGGUCCAACCUCCCACCCGUGUUUAACGAACCUUGUUGCUUCGGCGGGCCCGCCUCACGGCCGCCGGGGGGCAUCUGCCCCCGGGCCCGUGCCCGCCGAAGCCACCUGUGAACGCUGUCUGAAGUAUGCAGUCUGAGACAAUUAUUAAAUUAAUUAAAACUUUCAACAACGGAUCUCUUGGUUCCG